GGGUUGUGAGGUUAAGCGACUAAGCGUACACGGUGGAUGCCCUGGCAGUCAGAGGCGAUGAAGGACGUGCUAAUCUGCGAAAAGCGUCGGUAAGGUGAUAUGAACCGUUAUAGCCGGCGAUGUCCGAAUGGGGAAACCCAGUGCAAUUCGUUGCACUAUCGUUAACUGAAUACAUAGGUUAACGAGGCGAACCGGGGGAACUGAAACAUCUAAGUACCCCGAGGAAAAGAAAUCAACCGAGAUUCCCCCAGUAGCGGCGAGCGAACGGGGAGCAGCCCAGAGUCUGAAUCAGCUUGUGUGUUAGUGGAACGGUCUGGAAAGUCCGACGGUACAGGGUGAUAGUCCCGUACACCAAAAUGCACAGGUUGUGAACUCGAAGAGUAGGGCGGGACACGUGGUAUCCUGUCUGAAUAUGGGGGGACCAUCCUCCAAGGCUAAAUACUCCUGACUGACCGAUAGUGAACCAGUACCGUGAGGGAAAGGCGAAAAGAACCCCGGCGAGGGGAGUGAAAAAGAACCUGAAACCGUGUACGUACAAGCAGUGGGAGCACCUUCGGGUGUGACUGCGUACCUUUUGUAUAAUGGGUCAGCGACUUAUAUUCUGUAGCAAGGUUAACCGUAUAGGGGAGCCGCAGGGAAACCGAGUCUUAACUGGGCGUUAAGUUGCAGGGUAUAGACCCGAAACCCGGUGAUCUAGCCAUGGGCAGGUUGAAGGUUGGGUAACACUAACUGGAGGACCGAACCGACUAAUGUUGAAAAAUUAGCGGAUGACUUGUGGCUGGGGGUGAAAGGCCAAUCAAACCGGGAGAUAGCUGGUUCUCCCCGAAAGCUAUUUAGGUAGCGCCUCGUGAAUUCAUCUUCGGGGGUAGAGCACUGUUUCGGCUAGGGGGUCAUCCCGACUUACCAACCCGAUGCAAACUACGAAUACCGAAGAAUGUUAUCACGGGAGACACACGGCGGGUGCUAACGUCCGUCGUGAAGAGGGAAACAACCCAGACCGCCAGCUAAGGUCCCAAAGUCAUGGUUAAGUGGGAAACGAUGUGGGAAGGCACAGACAGCCAGGAUGUUGGCUUAGAAGCAGCCAUCAUUUAAAGAAAGCGUAAUAGCUCACUGGUCGAGUCGGCCUGCGCGGAAGAUGUAACGGGGCUAAACCAUGCACCGAAGCUGCGGCAGCGACACGAUGUGUUGUUGGGUAGGGGAGCGUUCUGUAAGCCUGCGAAGGUGUGCUGUGAGGCAUGCUGGAGGUAUCAGAAGUGCGAAUGCUGACAUAAGUAACGAUAAAGCGGGUGAAAAGCCCGCUCGCCGGAAGACCAAGGGUUCCUGUCCAACGUUAAUCGGGGCAGGGUGAGUCGACCCCUAAGGCGAGGCCGAAAGGCGUAGUCGAUGGGAAACAGGUUAAUAUUCCUGUACUUGGUGUUACUGCGAAGGGGGGACGGAGAAGGCUAUGUUAGCCGGGCGACGGUUGUCCCGGUUUAAGCAUGUAGGCUGGUUGUCCAGGCAAAUCCGGAUAAUCAAGGCUGAGGUGUGAUGACGAGGCACUACGGUGCUGAAGUAACAAAUGCCCUGCUUCCAGGAAAAGCCUCUAAGCAUCAGGUAACAUCAAAUCGUACCCCAAACCGACACAGGUGGUCAGGUAGAGAAUACCAAGGCGCUUGAGAGAACUCGGGUGAAGGAACUAGGCAAAAUGGUGCCGUAACUUCGGGAGAAGGCACGCUGGUGUGUAGGUGAAGUCCCUGCGGAUGGAGCUGAGACCAGUCGAAGAUACCAGCUGGCUGCAACUGUUUAUUAAAAACACAGCACUGUGCAAACACGAAAGUGGACGUAUACGGUGUGACGCCUGCCCGGUGCCGGAAGGUUAAUUGAUGGGGUUAUCCGUAAGGAGAAGCUCUUGAUCGAAGCCCCGGUAAACGGCGGCCGUAACUAUAACGGUCCUAAGGUAGCGAAAUUCCUUGUCGGGUAAGUUCCGACCUGCACGAAUGGCGUAAUGAUGGCCAGGCUGUCUCCACCCGAGACUCAGUGAAAUUGAACUCGCUGUGAAGAUGCAGUGUACCCGCGGCAAGACGGAAAGACCCCGUGAACCUUUACUAUAGCUUGACACUGAACAUUGAGCCUUGAUGUGUAGGAUAGGUGGGAGGCUUUGAAGCGUGGACGCCAGUCUGCGUGGAGCCAACCUUGAAAUACCACCCUUUAAUGUUUGAUGUUCUAACGUUGGCCCCUGACCGGGGUUGCGGACAGUGUCUGGUGGGUAGUUUGACUGGGGCGGUCUCCUCCCAAAGCGUAACGGAGGAGCACGAAGGUUAGCUAAUCCUGGUCGGACAUCAGGAGGUUAGUGCAAUGGCAUAAGCUAGCUUGACUGCGAGCGUGACGGCGCGAGCAGGUGCGAAAGCAGGUCAUAGUGAUCCGGUGGUUCUGAAUGGAAGGGCCAUCGCUCAACGGAUAAAAGGUACUCCGGGGAUAACAGGCUGAUACCGCCCAAGAGUUCAUAUCGACGGCGGUGUUUGGCACCUCGAUGUCGGCUCAUCACAUCCUGGGGCUGAAGUAGGUCCCAAGGGUAUGGCUGUUCGCCAUUUAAAGUGGUACGCGAGCUGGGUUUAGAACGUCGUGAGACAGUUCGGUCCCUAUCUGCCGUGGGCGCUGGAGAAUUGAGGGGGGCUGCUCCUAGUACGAGAGGACCGGAGUGGACGCAUCACUGGUGUUCGGGUUGUCAUGCCAAUGGCACUGCCCGGUAGCUAAAUGCGGAAGAGAUAAGUGCUGAAAGCAUCUAAGCACGAAACUUGCCCCGAGAUGAGUUCUCCCUGAGACUUUAAGUCUCCUGAAGGAACGUUAAAGACGAUGACGUUGAUAGGCCGGGUGUGUAAGCGCAGCGAUGCGUUGAGCUAACCGGUACUAAUGAACCGUGAGGCUUAACCUUACAACGCCGAAG
rnacentral:rRNA from 1 species